AAAUACCAAAUCAUUUUGACACCAAGACCUGUACUUUUCUCUAAAUUUUGCCUAUUUUGAAAUGUAAUUGGUCUGUAGAGUUUUUAAUUAGCAUCAUUCACGGUUCAACCAAUUAUUUUCCCAUUAAACUAUAAGACAAAAUCAAGGGGAAAUUUGUGAUGAAGUUCAGCAAUUUCCGGAUAAGUAAUUGACUCUGUGUGUCCAACUUAAUUGUGUGGGAUCAUAGAAGUCGUAACCACGUAGAAGGCUCCUGUCAGCGUGAAAUGACAAGAACAAAGGAAAGAAAUCCGACAGACCAAGAGCGACGAACAGAAGAUAGAAAUGGAGGAUUGAAAGAGGUUUGAUUGUAACUGGGCGAGAAGACCAGAGAGAAAUUGCAUUCUCUCUAUCACAGACACAUACACACUUGCAAAUACUAUUACAUUAUUGGAUUCAAACAACCAGAUUGAAUGAAGGAAAAAAUUAUCCAUAAAACUUUUCUUAAUUCGAAAACGAGAUCCUGCAAGCUAUAAUUUUGAUUUACCACUUUCAGUUUUUUAAUUAGAGGGAUGGUUGAAAAGAAGCUGCUGUGGUCUUGUUACGAUAGGGAACGAGAUUUCUAAAAAGAACAAGGUGCAGAUUUUGGAACGUGCUGGAAAGAAAUGGAAGCGUAUGGAUAACUUCAGAAAGAACUUUCUAUCCUCAAUUUCUACCAGGGACUUGAACACUUGAAAUACGAUCAAACAAUUUGACGAUUUGUAUCUUUUGAGCCUGUCUGGAUGUCGCCACUUUAACGCAACUGCCUUAGGAUUUGACAUAACUCAAAGGAAACGCCGUUUCAAGACCUCAUUCUGACUGAAUACAUUAAAGAAAAAUCUUCCGGUGCUGCAUUGGAGAAAAUAAGAUUGUACUUUCAGAUUAUGUUUAUACCCACAAUAAGAUUUACCUAAUUCUAGAUUUUUUAAGCUUUAAUUUAAUUAGUAUAGGUGUCUUUCUGCUUCAAAAUCAGUUGGCUAGCAAGAUAUAGAGAUAAAAUUUAAAGAAAGAACUAAAAUAUCCGUGAUUUCAAAUUUUCAUUUUAUUUCUUGCACAUAGAGAAAGGUUUACAAUGAUCUAAAUUUUCGAAUUUACUUUUUGACAUAUUCCAAAAUAAUUCAACAAAAAGAAGUCAAAACAAUAAUUUUUUAAAAUGUUUUUUGAGAGUUUUAAUAGGAUUUUUAGCUAUAUCGGUAACAACUAUACGAUAUCUUAUAUAUUUAUUCGCGUCUUCGAGAGGCAUCGAUUGACCUAUUGCUGAAAUUUGUAUGACCUUCCAGUACCGAUUUAUGAAAUUUAAAAGAAUAGUUUAUUCUGUUAAUAUAAGAAAAACUUGUUUAAAAUUCAAAAUACAACAAUAUUAUAUCUAGUGCAUUUGUGCGCAUCUCCGACACGCAUCCGAAAUACAGGACUGUGUCUGACAUUUUUAUUCACGUCUGAGAGACGCGUCGAAUGAUCAAUUGAGGAUCCUAUUAUAACCUCUCAUGUCCUAGAAUUACCAAUUUAUAAAUUUAAAAUAUAUAUUACUUACUUUUAUAUGAGGGAAACUUUUUUAAUGUUGGAAAUACAAGAGUAAUGUCGAUUAUAUAUUUUUUGCGUCUUCGAGACGCUUCGAUUGCCCAAUUAAAAAACA